GUCGAACGGUGACCUCGGAGCUUGCUCCGGGCGAUCAGUGGCGAACGGGUGAGUAACACGUGAGUAACCUGCCCCAGACUCUGGAAUAACCCCGGGAAACCGGAGCUAAUACCGGAUACGAGACGGAGCCGCAUGGCUACCGUCUGGAAAGUUUUUCGGUCUGGGAUGGACUCGCGGCCUAUCAGCUAGUUGGUGAGGUAACGGCUCACCAAGGCGACGACGGGUAGCCGGCCUGAGAGGGCGACCGGCCACACUGGGACUGAGACACGGCCCAGACUCCUACGGGAGGCAGCAGUGGGGAAUAUUGCACAAUGGGCGAAAGCCUGAUGCAGCGACGCCGCGUGAGGGAUGACGGCCUUCGGGUUGUAAACCUCUUUCAGCAGGGAAGAAGCGAAAGUGACGGUACCUGCAGAAGAAGCACCGGCUAACUAC
rnacentral:rRNA from 1 species